rnacentral:rRNA from 1 species
UGGGGAAUUUUGGACAAUGGGGGAAACCCUGAUCCAGCCAUCCCGCGUGUGCGAUGAAGGCCUUCGGGUUGUAAAGCACUUUUGGCAGGAAAGAAACGUCAUGGGUUAAUACCCCGUGAAACUGACGGUACCUGCAGAAUAAGCACCGGCUAACUACGUGCCAGCAGCCGCGGUAAUACGUAGUGUGCAAGCGUUAAUCGGAAUUACUGGGCGUAAAGCGUUCGCAGGCGGUUCGGAAAGAAAGAUGUGAAAUCCCAGAGCUCAACUUUGGAACUGCAUUUUUAACUACCGGGCUAGAGUGUGUCAGAGGGAGGUGGAAUUCCGCGUGUAGCAGUGAAAUGCGUAGAUAUGCGGAGGAACACCGAUGGCGAAGGCAGCCUCCUGGGAUAACACUGACGCUCAUGCACGAAAGCGUGGGGAGCAAACAGG